rnacentral:tRNA from 1 species
UGCCGCAUAGUUCAAUGGAGAGAGCACUGCCGUGCGAAGGCAGAAACCCCGGUUCGAGUCCGGGUGCGGCAGCCA